rnacentral:rRNA from 1 species
ACUCAAAUGAAUAGACGGGGGCCCGCACAAGCGGAGGAACAUGUGGUUUAAUUCGAUGAUACGCGAGGAACCUUACCCGGGAUUGAAAUGUGUCUGACGGUCUGUGAGAGCAGGCUUCCGCGAGGCAGACAUGUAGGUGCUGCAUGGUUGUCGUCAGCUCGUGCCGUGAGGUGUCGGCUUAAGUGCCAUAACGAGCGCAACCCUGACUGUCAGUUGCUAACAGGUAAUGCUGAGGACUCUGGCGGGACUGCCGGCGUAAGCUGUGAGGAAGGUUGGGAUGACGUCAAAUCAGCACGGCCCUUAUAUCCGGGGCGACACACGUGUUACAAUGGGGGGGACAAAGGGUUGCUACCCGGUGACGGGAUGCUAAUCUCUAAACCCUCUCUCAGUUCGGAUCGGAGUCUGCAACUCGACUCCGUGAAGCUGGAUUCGCUAGUAAUCGCGCAUCAGCCAUGGCGCGGUGAAUACGUUCCCGGGCCUUGUACACACCGCCCGU